GCGGGGGUAGCCAAGCCUGGUCAACGGCGCCGGCUUGAGGGGCCGGUCCCGUAGGGGUGCCUGGGUUCAAAUCCCAGCCCCCGCACCA
rnacentral:tRNA from 2 species